rnacentral:pre_miRNA from 1 species
UAGUGAUGAUGCCGAUGACGAUGACGACGAUGAUGAUGAUGGUGAUGUAGUAAAACGAAAGUAGCGAAAAGAAACCUUGUUAUAAAAAUUUUUAUGCUGUCACAACCACAGCAUCAUCAUCAUCGUCGUCAUCAUCAUCACCAUCA